rnacentral:rRNA from 1 species
AUAGCAUAUAUUAAAGUUGUUGCAGUUAAAAAGCUCAUAGUUGAACUUCAGACCUGGCCAGGCAGUCUGCUUAACGGCAUGUACUGUCUGGGUGGGGCUUACCUCUUGGUGAGCCGGCGUGCCCUUCAUUGGUGUGCGUUGGGGAACCAGGACUUUUACCUUGAGAAAAUUAGAGUGUUCAAAGCAGGCCUAUGCCCGAAUACAUUAGCAUGGAAUAAUAAAAUAGGACGCGCAGUUCUAUUUUGUUGGUUUCUAGAGUCGCCGUAAUGAUUAAUAGGGAUAGUUGGGGGCAUUGGUAUUGAGUCGCUAGAGGUGAAAUUCUUGGAUUGACUCAAGACCGACUACUG